ensembl:lncRNA
CACACACACACACACACACACACACACACACACACACACACACACACACACACACACACACACACACACACACACACACACACACUGGGCAGCGAUGCUCCACACGGGACAGGCCUGGGAACAGCCCUCUCACUGAUCACACCACCACUGUGGAGGUUCCCUGCUGAUAUAUUUUUCAUUUAACUAAUGAAAACCUUUUUGGUUUGGUUUUCUGGCCGUUUUCGUCCAAAACGGUGAGCAGCUGUGUAAGACAUCAGGUACAGUUGUGUUAUAAGGGGACUUGUAGCUGUUGAGCUCAUCUUACGGCUGUGCAUGGUGAGGAGGCAUAGGCUGUAAAGUCUUCAAUGUUAACUUGUAAAAUAAAGAGGGUAGCCCAUGGUGCAAAUGGCCCUUUUAAGAUGCGGCAGUGAAUAAAAAAAAGUGAAAAGAAUGUAUCAGCGGCAAAAUACGAUGUUCUUCCUUUUUUUUUUUGCUAGCCAUGAGAGCCAAUUCCACACAGUAUAUUCCAUUCACUUCAUUUUUCCAACUGUGCAGCGCCAGCGGCUGACACUAUAAAUACUGUUAAGCUGCCAUCAGGCCUGGAUUACGUCAUCUUAUAUAUAUGUAUAUGUGUUUAUGUAUGUAUGUAGGCCUAUGUAUGUAUGUGUGUGGGUGACCUGUGUGUUUUAUAUAUAAUAUAUAUUUUUACAUGUAUGUAUAUAUGUAUGUAUACAUAUAUACAGUAUAUAUAUACUGUAUAUUUAUAUAUAUAUAUACACACUCACACACACAAUAUUAUCUAUAUACAGUAUAUAUAUACUGUGUUUAUACUGUAUAUAUGAUAAUAUUGUGUGUGUGUGUGUGAGUAUUUAUCCAGGCCUGUAAGCUGUAUAUUGCCAUUGCUAUGCAUUCCAUCCCCAGUCACAUGCGUUUCUAAUGUAAAUAUCAGACAUUGUUAGUAGACCCAGCAACAUGUCUUGUGACUAAUUACACACAUACUUCAGCAAAGUUCACCAAGUUAAAGUUAAACAAGUGUAACUCAACUUUAAAGGGUAUUAAUGGUGGAAAAGUGGAUUAAACAAUGAUUGGACAAGGAUAGACCGGAAACGUGACCCCCAGGUUAAGGAGAUAAGGAGAGCGACUACUCCUGAAAAAGGUUAAAGAUGGUCUUUCUAAGCUGCGCAGAUGAUCUCAGAUCAGUAAAUUCUGCGGUCCUCUGUUAAAACAAAUCGUCUGCGGGUGACAAAGUCAUUGUUUAUCUGUUACAAAACACACAGCAUUCUGGGUAUUUGGCCAGAAGGGCCUGUUGCUAUGGGGCCCAGCAAAAAAAAAGAAACGUGUAGCCCCCGACGUACCCUUCCUCCCCACCCCCCCAGACUCCCACAGAGUCUACGUGCCGAGCUUCCCGACCCUCUAAUACACUUCCUGUGCUGCUGUUGUACACAGCAGAUCAACAGAUAUCUGAGGCAUCAAACUAGUUUGGGAUAAUUGUCAUCCCCCCCUCCCUCCCCCCCUGACGAUACGAUCAGCAGUUGCUUACAGUAUUUCUGGGCGUGGGUUCACACAGGAAAUGUCUCCCUGUGUCUCUGUGGACAACACAAGCAAAAACAGGAUGGACAUCUGAGACGAGAGAGAGAGAGAGAGAGAGAGAGAGAGAGAGAGAGAGACUCAGCUAGCUUGGUGUUCUGGUCAGCAGUGGCAUUAAUGUAGCUUAGCGCGCUGUAUCUUAUUACCCCGGGUUUGUUCUUGUCAAUACAUAACUAUGCAGAUGGUCGCACUGAGAAAUUUCAUGGCUGUUGAAUAAUGCAACGUGAUGCAGAGGUAUUUGGUUACAGGUGGCGUGGGGGGGCUAUUGUCUGUUCCCUUUCAUGUCCGCUAAUCAUUAGGGAGAGUAGAGAGAAUAAGCUUGGGCCCAGUGGUGGGCUGACUCAACAAUACCAUUUAUUUUUCACCCUUUCAAACAAUCCAAACAAGAGCGAAGUUGUUUGAAGUGCUUUUGUUGUUUUUAUACUGUGGUUGCCUCGGUGUCUCUUUUUGACUCACCUUUCCGUUACUAAAGAUCUGAGUCACGGUUCUGGGAGGGAUAACUUGUUUAUUUGCAUUCCACAUUCAGGGAAUUCAUAUCUGGCCUAUAAACUCAUUAAAUUUGCCAUUUUUAAGGCAACCAUACGUUAAAAACAAGGCCAACAAUUGAAGCGUUGGGCCGAGUUAUAAACAUUACAACCCUUAUGGACUGAUUCAAUCCAUUUAUUUCUCAGACUCACUACUUUUCCUGAAUACACAAGACCAACCUUGUUUCUCUUUGGCAACUUCUCCAACCAAAACAUCCAAAAUGCUUGCAAAAAUAUGUUUUUCCUCAACUGCUCAAGACGCUCAAACUGGAACACGGGACUGCUUCCUCCUGCUCCACAGACGGCCAUUGUUGUUUCAUAAGGCACAUCAAAACAAGUCCCAUGUCACCGUUAACUUUGUUCUGUCGAAUCCAUCUCUAUGAUUAACCGACCAACGCUCACAUCAUAUCUGUGUGGCGUGAUGGAGAGGCAGAUGUGUGCCUCAGGAAGGCACCGUGAAGCUGUUUGUUCACUUCCUUCGCAUGAUGAUUCUGUUGUUGUUGAAAGCCAUAAAAUGUAUGAAAAUAAAACGACGGGCAAAUCUAUCACGGUGCGUUGGUUCUCAGGAUCAAAGCAACCAGACUGCUUUGGACUUGGGUUUGGGUGUUUUGUUUUCUGGAGGUCUAUAGCAGCAGAGAUCUGUAACGUUUAUCUGGUGUUGGAGAGACAGAGAGUCAUACUGGAGAGUGCAAGGAAAACAUUGACGUUGUAGGAAGGAAAACGUUGAAUCAUGAGUGCCACGUCUUUUUUAACUUUAAGCAAAACUAAACAAAAUAUAAAACAUAGUUCUAAGAUAUUAAGUCGUACUCUCAAAGCUGAUGUUGCGUUGUGCUGUUUUGUGCACCACAAUAGUCUACUGUAUUCACAUAGAUUUUGACAAACAAUGCAACAAUGCUUGCUCUAACAUUUGUUAAAAAAGAAAGAGAAAAAACGAACAGUCUGUCUACAGUCCAAUAGUCUCCAGUCUGAAACUGUGGAGAACAUACCGGAGCGCUUGAAAAGGAAUUCGACCAGGAAGUGAGCAGGGCUUUUGUUUAAUAUUCCUCGGGGUCACUGGCAUGGGGGUCGCUGAACCAAACAUGUGUUUCAUCGCAGCUUUACAAUGACCAACUUGUUAGGUUGGGGAGCAGGGAGUCGCGUGUGAAAGUAGCCUUGUUAUGAUUAUGUUCUUUACUCGCACACAUAGCGCUUCGCGUGUUUUUUUGGGUUGGCGGCAAUAUAAAUAUGUUGAUUUGAUUUUUGUUUAUAUCUUGUACUGAUUAUUUUAGGCCUAAAUGAAUACCGCAAGUACUUUUUUAUGAUCCCAUCUUACUUUAGUUCCAAAACUUCUUUAGUUGUAAUACAUAAUAAUAGGGGUAUUAUGUUCUUAAGAGGCUUCAAUGUACUUUAAAUCAUCUGGGUGCUUAUUGAACAUUUGUCUCCUAUGGUUAAAGGUUCAACCCAGAUAAUAACCACAAAAUAAACCAGGCUCGGGUUGGACACUAAUGCAAUAUAAUGUGACAUUGAACAAUAUCACAGGCCAUUUGUAUAUUUUGUCUCUGUGCUUAUUGCAACAAUAUCGGAAAAAAGAGCACUUAAAAGUCUUCUUGGACCUGAGUCCAUCCUUGUGCUUGAGUCUACUGCUUGUGUGAAUUGGGCCACUGUUUACAGAUAUAAAUUUGAGCCACUUAAACCUUGUUGACCUGUUUCAACAGUCACAUUGUCCACAUUUUUCCCUGGGACCUGUUUAUAGAUAAGGUUGUGAACCUUGGGCGUCUCUCCCCUAGAGCAGGCGUUGUGGCUCAUGGGUUUGAUAGUGGCUCUCGGGUUUGAUAGUGGCUCGUGUCGGAGAGAGGGAUUAUCUAGGCCUUUUUUUCCAUUAGUCAUCUCCGUCCACACACACCUAGCCUCUCCCUUCUGUUGUUCUCUGUUUUGUUUUGCUGGUCUUUUGGGUAUUUCUUUCUUUUCUAAGUUCUGAGAAAUUUCAGGCUGUUUCUCAGAGGAUUUGAAUCGAGGCUGAUUCAACACGUGUGUUCUUUGUUACCAGUGGAAUUUUGAUCAACGUGUUGACAUUUUGACGUGCUGCACGGUGACAAGCAGCAGUCCAUGAGUCAUCGCCCAUCUCAAGAGACGUUUUGACGAAGCGGCGAUAGCUGAAUGUCAAAAAGAAAAACAAAGGCCACAACAAACAACAAUCCCCGCUAUCCUGAGCGACUUUUCAGUGGUUGUAAAAACCCAACCACAAACCUAAAUCUAUUGCCACCUCCACCAGCACCCACGCCCUUGUCGCAUUUCACACCUGAAAAGUGUUUGUAGCGUAGUGUAGCGUUGUGCAAUGUCGUGCGGUCACAAGCCGUCUCACACUGACUUGGCAGCAGACGGCUCACCACGGGAUCUGAUAAACGCUUUCCUGGGUGGCAGUGCCAACGUCUACGUGUGAGACGUCUUUACACCUGUGUGUGUGUGUGUGUGUGUGUGUGUGUGUGUGUGUGUGUGUGUGUGUGUGUGUGUGUGUGUGUGUGUGUGUGUGUGUGUGUGUGUGUGUGUGUGUGUGUGUGUGUGUGUGUGUGUGUGUGUGUGUGUGUGUGUGUGCGUGCGUGUGUGUGUGUGUCAGCCUGCGCAUGUAUUUUAUUGACUUCUUCACGAUAUGGGUAAUUUUAUAUCUCGAUUACGACACAUACAUAAGUCUAUUUAUACUUCUUAGGAAUGAGGGGGGCGUGUUACGUCCAACACCAACUACUAUUUACUUUCGUCGUUGUGUAUAAGCGUUGAUUAUAAUGAGCAUUGUUGUAUUUUAUACUGUUAUACUGCGCUAAACCCUCACUCAGGCAUCAGAAUAAACCGCUGCUCAGAAGUAGCUCCACAUAUAAUCCACAUUAAACGUAGAGUUAGCUUGAGAAGAACAGCCAUCAUUAAAUUCCACAGCUGUCCAGAAAGGGCACACAUAUCCGCACACUACAGACUCGUUCUUUGUGUUUGACAUUUGCUUAUAUUUUCAUCACUUGAAUGUACAUCGUAUCUUUUGAUUCUUGUUCUUUUGAUUCUUGACUGUUGUCCGUGACACUGUUGUCUAUCGUCCGAAUGACCUCAAAUACUGCCGUGAAGUAAAAUCGGGAUAGGACAGAUCGAGGGAAAUAUCUAUUGAUUAGAUAUUUUUCUGUCGUCUCCCAAUACAUAUCGGCACAUCGUAGGCCUACACUAGGGCGUUCGUUGAAGUGUGAGCUAGCGUCCUCGUGCAUUAGCGUUAGCAUGCACGUGCGCCAGCAUGUGUGUGCUGCGCUUAUGAGUGUGUUUGUUAGUAGUAGUGGAGAGAGCUGCAGCUUCCCGGAGUUAUAAAUAUCGUAGCGUAGCGGAUAUGUUAUGCGGCGCGCUGCGGCCGGGCUGCUGAGACGCCGUGCCGCGGAGAGGAACAGUUUAGAGUUGAACCCGGCAUGAAGCCUCUGCAUUGUCUCACACUUCCUGUGCUCUCUGAGAGGCGGGGACGAGCACAUUUCACACGCUCUCCCACUCGCUGUGUGUGUGUGUGUGUGUGUGUGUGUGUGUGUGUGUGUGUGUGUGUGUGUGUGUGUGUGUGUGUGUGUGUGUGUGUGUGUGUGUGUGUGUGUGUGUGUGUGUGUGUGUGUGUGUGUGUGUGUGUGUGUGUGUGUGUGUGUGUGUGUGUGUGUGUGGGCUUAGGCGUGUGCACUUGUGAGAGUGUGUCAUAUGUGUGUGUAUACGUGUGCAAGUGUGUUGCGCUUCUGUGUUGUGUGUGUGUUCACGUGUGUUAAGCUUCUGUGUGUGUGUGUGUGUGUGUGUGUGUGUGUCUUCUGUGUGUGUGUGCACACGUGUGUUGCACUUCUGUGUGUGUUUGUCUGUGAAUGUGUGUGUGUGUCUAUGUGGUGUGUGUGCGUGUGUAUAGAUGAAUGUGAAGGCCCAAACAAUGGAGGCCAUAGGUCCUGCUUGUCCAUUUGCGUUUGUUUGAAGGAUUUCUGAAGGAUUUUAAAUGGAUGCGAGUGUUCUCUUCCUUCGUCCCCAUUGGAACAACAAUUCCUCACAACUCCUGAACCUAAUGGCUGACUGCAGACAGGGAGCCAGCAUUAGAGAGUUGUUUGUAGUUUGGGCGAGUUUAGAAACUUGGCGUGUGUUGCCACUGCCCUUGUGUACAAUCGCGAUCACAAAAACAUGGUUGCAAUUCAUCAUCGGAGGGGAAAACGCUUCUUCCUAUUCCUCCCAAAACAAUGCUCAGAGAGAGCCCACUUGAUGUUCUGUCGAGGUCAAGGACGCCAGCUCUCCAAUCGUUUUCCUCAUGCGAAAAGGUUCCCAGCAAAUCGCUCUUCUGUCGGGUGCUACAGAAGACAGCUGGGGCUGGAGAGUCACCGCAUUCUUUACUCCUAAACAUUUAGGUGUCAAGAGUCCCCUUACUCGCUGCCCACUCACCCUCCAACUGUAUAAAGAGAGUUUGCCUGGUUGGUGUGAGCAAAAUAAAAGGCUACCUUUUUUAAUGCGUUGUGGCGAGGUAUCCCUUUUGCUGAGUCUUUUUAACUUGUUUCGUCGCGGCUUGUUGAUGACCCGAGGUUGAAUUUAAUUUCCCUUUGUUUGCAGAUUAGCUUCCGCUCCAAGAGCCUCUUGAUUAGCGUUUGGCAGAAGGCUUGACAUUCUGAAUAAUGGUGAAGGCAAAAAGCCUUCCGAUCUCAAAACAGUAUUUUCUCCCCAAACAUAAAUUACGGUAAAGCGCCGGAUGCACUGCAUCAUAGUGUAUUUUUAUCAUAAAGUUGUGCUUGUCAAAUCCCAGAUACAUCCCACAGAAGCCUAUGUCACACAAGGCAAGCCUUAAGGAAAGCAAAAUAGUGAUAAGAUAAGUGGUAAGAUUUCAAGGCUAUUUUAAUGCAAACUUAUUUAUUUAAGUAAAUCAUUAGUUGAUACGUAGUAUGUUACAAAAAGUGUCAAAUUGUUACUUAACAGAAACACAUGCCAAAGCCUUGAGAUUGAAUUACAAUGAACUAACGUAGUACAAUUCCACCGACAAAUGUCAUCUAUGUUCUCAUCUUAAUUAAAUCCAAUUAAAUGGUCACCCCGUCAGAGCUGGUCAAUGUGGCCCGGGAAAGGGAAGAAAGGGAAGUCUGGGGCCCCCUGCUUGAGCUGCUCCCCCCGCGACCCGACCCCGGAUAAGCGGAUGACGAUGAGGAUGAGGAUAAAUGGUCACCUGCAAAACUGAUACCACCAACUUUGAAAGUCGGUUAAACGUUUUGACAAAAGACUUUCAAAAAGUCGCCCGCUCCCUUAACUGGGAUGGCGCCAUGCUGCAUCAGACUGAUGUUUGAGAUGUUUUCCACAGAAAGGCAUGCUGGGUGUUACUCUCGGGGAGGAAACGGUUGAUGAGUAUGUCAACAUACUCUAAUGACCCAAAGUUGUGGUCCCGAGGGAGCCGUAAUGUAUCGCAAUUACUGUGUGCAUCUGCUAUCUGAUUUAAGCUUCAGUUUGGCUCUCAAGUAAGGGACAAAUGCAAAGUUUGCGCUUUAGAAGUUCAUAAGACACAACAAGCACGGGCAAAUAACAAAGACGGCAUUUUGAAUAUUGGUUGUAACACGUUUUGUACAAUUUCUAGUCUCUGCGAAUCCAAUCAUAAAAGUUAUCUCUAUAAUUGCAAAGCCGAAAUUGGCGGCCUUGUAUUUUCUCAUGUGUUUGCUCAUGAGCGUACAGUUCUGUGUCCCUGGGCUCCACAAAUGGCCCUUAGAGACAACAGAUGAAAGGCAAGGAGUGGCUAAUUGGAAAGGCAUGCUGGGUCAGGUUCCUCCGGAAUCAGCUUGUAAUGAGGUACAACGUGCCACUCCUUAUCUGAUGCUUAUGAUUCAAAUCAUCUGGCCUAUAUGAAAUACACUUUGUAUACGCUUCUGUCCGUGUGUGUGUGUGUGUGUGUGUGUCUGCGUGCACGCAGCGGGUUGCUUCCCAACCUUCCCUGAUUGCUUCCAUUUUAUAAUGGCCGACCAACUGGUAAUUCACUCAGGGGCUGAAGCGAACCCACUACCCGCUAAAUGGUGCAUUGAUUACGCGGGGAUUAGCUGAAAGGCCGGCCUGUUGUUGGCUUACAGAUACUGUCUUAGUGUUGUACAUGCAGAGUUAUUGCCGGAGGGCAAUUAUAGAAAGAAGCGCGGGCCGGGGCCUGGGCAGAGGAAAUGGAGGGGCGCUACUGUUGUUGCAUAAACAGGCUCUAAAGACUCUUUAGUAGCCUCCCAUUGUUCUGGCAUUAGCUCCACGUUGGCCCCGCACAAGCAGCGCAUUAAACUCUAAUCACACCGGCGGACUGGCCCACACUGGAACUCUUUUGUAGCGGCGGCGGAGGCUCAGAGUCCAAUCCGUCAGGCCGGGGAACACAGAGGACUGUGAGCUGGACCGGCCCAUGUCAGGCCUGGCCUGUUGGACCGGGUCCAGGGCCUGUGGUUCAGGCGAGGAGCAACUACACUGGAGUUAUGGUCAUUCUAGUGUGCCGCUCUCUGCCUCAGGAGGUAGAACCCAGCCACACUGUGGCUUUCCCAAAGUGAUUGUGUAUACAAUACGGUUUGGGUUUAAGUGGUAGGGUUGGCUGUGUGUGUGUGUGUGUGUGUGUGUGUGUGUGUGUGUGUGUGUGUGUGUGUGUGUGUGUGUGUGUGUGUGUGUGUGUGUGUGUGUGUGUGUGUGUGUGUGUGUGUGUGUGUGUGUGUCUGUCAGUUCAAUUCUCACUGCUGUAGAGACCUUCCCACUUCCGAUGAGGGCCAUCCUUAGAAAGAUGUUAUUUUCCCAUAUUUAACAGUUAAGGCUUUGUAUUGAAUAUACCAAAGUCUUCAUAAAGGAUGAGUUUUGUUAAAUACCUCGAGUUCAAGUUCAGUCCGAGUAGUGUUGUGUGUUUCAUGAGUAACAAUUGUAUAUUUAUUUCAAGAGAGUGUUGUAUUGAAUGCUCCUUCAUAAAGGAUGUGUUUUGUUAUAUACCUCGGGUUCAAGUUCAGUCCGAGUAGUGUUGUCUGUUUCAUGACAUUUUGUGUAUUUACAACUGUGUAUUUAUUGCAAGAGAGGGAGUUCAUGUUCUCUCCUUGAUUUGUGCAUCUGUCUCUUGGUGCAAAAGGCCUGAGGCUGGUCCUCAUCAGGCUCGACCUUGAACAUUUCCCAAGGACAACGUAGUGACCAAUCAAACCACAGUACCCUCAGAACAGAGCCAAUUAGAAUCCAAGGCUGCUCACAUGUUCAGAGCCAAGGGGCUUCUUGUUCCCCUGAAGGGGGACUUUCUUUACCCCGGGACUUUGUUUACCUUUGAUUGACAAAUCACUGAGACCAAUCGGUGCCCAGAGGACCUCUUUGUUUCAACUCGAGCAGAGGCGGUUUACAGCCAAGGCGAGGGUCGCCGGGUUUCUGCAUCUUUGAAUGCAAAUCGUGACUUAAAAAGUGUUUGUGCGAGGCGCGUGUUUACCGCGGCGCGGUGGCGUUGCUAGGCACACGGAAUAUUGUGCGGUUGCGUCGCAACAAUACGGUGAAUGCUGCUGGCAUUUCGGCCGCGGCAGGUGGGUGUGUUAUUUCUAAUGGGAGCCAGCAGCACAUGCAAACAGAUAGACAGUCACACAACUGCCACACAAUAGUCCCACUCAUGCUAGAGAGUUUUGUAUCGCUGCACAAUGGAUCUAAAGGAUCACGGACAAACGGAUCAUGGCCCCAGAUAAUGUCAUAUCCAGAAGAACCCAUUUAAAUAUCCCACAUCCGUUGGGCCCCCCACUGCGUUGCCCUGGCAACACGCUCUGUCGUUUACCUAUCGUCUUUUUCUCGGCCCGUUUGUAUUGAAAUGGGUUCUCUCUGUUGAGGGACGCGUUCCAAUAGGAAGAGCACGGCCUCGUCCCCCUCCACAGUGUGCUGCAACAAACAACUCUGGGAAUCAAGGAAUGCACAAGCAUCCAAACAGUGUGUGGUCGACAGGGUUUUCUGUUUCAUCA